UACGUAGGUGGCAAGCGUUGUCCGGAUUUACUGGGUGUAAAGGGCGCGUAGGCGGGAUUGCAAGUCAGAUGUGAAAUGCCGUGGCUUAACCACGGAGCUGCAUUUGAAACUGUAGUUCUUGAGUAUCGGAGAGGCAGACGGAAUUCCUAGUGUAGCGGUGAAAUGCGUAGAUAUUAGGAAGAACACCAGUGGCGAAGGCGGUCUGCUGGACGACAACUGACGCUGAGGCGCGAAAGCGUGGGGAG
rnacentral:rRNA from 1 species